rnacentral:tRNA from 18 species
GGGCCUAUAGCUCAGCUGGUUAGAGCACCUGACUCAUAAUCAGGGGGUCCCUGGUUCAAGCCCAGGUGGGCCCA